rnacentral:lncRNA from 1 species
GUAUUGUUUAAAUUACACCAAAACGAAAUCUUCAAAUCAACACAAUGAGAGCCGGGAAUAUGCUAAUAUUUUUACGACAUUAAACACGUUUAGUUGUUACGGAAAGACUUAUCUGUUUUUAAUUGCACUCUAGAGACGGUGAAAUAAAACAACUCCUUGAUGAUUAGGGGCCAGAAUUCGAAGAUUAAUAUCAAAUUAUGUAAAAUAAUCGAUUGGGCAGAUUCAGCACCAGACAGUUGCACGCAGUCUGAUAAAAACACAGGAGUAGGCAUUCUGAAAAUCAGUCAGACAAUAACCGCCCAACGAGGAACAUUAAUAAUUUACACACAAAGCUUGUUGUGCAAAGAUAGACGCACUAUGCUAACGAAAAU